UACUACCGAAGCUACGGCAUCAGUAAUGAUGGGUAGGGGAGCUUCCCAUACGGGUUGAAGCAUGACCGUAAGGACAUGUGGACAGUAUGGGAGUGAGAAUGUUGGCAUGAGUAGCGAGAUGUGGGUGGGAAUCCCACAGGCCGUAAACCCAAGGUUUCCAGGGGAAGGUUCGUCCGCCCUGGGUUAGUCGGGACCUAAGCUUA
rnacentral:rRNA from 1 species